rnacentral:rRNA from 1 species
AUUGAACGCUGGCGGCAGGCUUAACACAUGCAAGUCGAGCGAGCGGCGGACGGGUGAGUAAUGUCUGGGAAACUGCCUGAUGUAGGGGGAUAACUACUGGAAACGGUAGCUACUACCGCAUACCCUCAGAUGUGCCCAGAUGGGAUUAGCUAGUAGGUGGGGGAAUGGCUCACCUAGGCCACGAUCCCUAGCUGGUCUGAGAGGAUGACCAGACACACUGGAAGGGAGACACGGUCCGGACUCCUACGGGAGGCAGCAGUGGGGAAUAUUGAAAAAGGGGAGCAAGCCUGAUACAGCCAUGCCGGGAGUGUGAAGAAGGCCUGCGGGUUGUAAAGCACUUUCAGCGAGGAGGAGUUACUCGGAGAAGAAGCACCGGCUAACUCCGUGCCAGCAGCCGCGGUAAUAC